AGCCGCUCCAUAUGCGUAAUAAAUCUAUUUCAUACGAUGAACGAGUGAACAAUACAUAAAUUCUGAACAAGUAUCAAUUUUCUGUUUAUUCUUCGUAUCUUGUGAUAUGACGAUGUGAUACGUUCCUGAACAUGCCUCGGGUCCUAACGCUGUAGGAUCUCUUGGCUUGAAUGUCCAUUCUAUUCCGACCAAUACCAUUGACCGUUGGUGUGAACCUUUUGGUGUGUUCGGAAAAAAUAACGAUGCUCUCCGGCCCUGCUUGAAUAACUGUUCACAGUAGAAUCAGUCAAAUGCAUUGGAAGUCAAGGCCGACAAAGCUUCAAGUGAUUUAGACGUAAUAAAGAUAACUAACUUUGAGAGAUGAAUCUUGCAGAUAACAUACCAAUAUUUUUCUGGAACCAUAUUAACUUUAGCUCAUCAUACUGCAGUUCAGGGAACCGGAGGAAAUAAUACAUCUUCACCUUGCAAUGAAAAUCGUCGAUCUGUCAGACCAUGUCUGACAGCCUAAAAGUAAAAAAAUUCUGCAACAGAAAGUUGUACCAAGUAACUGUCCUGCCGGUAAAUCGUAAAAAUAACAUAUUUAUAAGGUGUAUCCGCAUAACGAUCGCCCUUUUAAUGUUAAUUUAUUGGAAAAUGAAUAAUUCACUCUAAGGCGCAAUAAAUCGGCGUUAUCAACUUACGCUUCCAGACUCUUCAGAACUGUAUGAUGCAAGGGUUAUUUCCAGAAGAGUUCACACGUGUAUAUAUGUAUAUUAAGAUAGUUCCAUGUAUAUCAUUCCUGAUAUUCUUGGUUUACCCUUUUAUCAACCACUCAUGGUAAGAUGAAUAUUUUUAUGUGGUUCGUAUCGCAUGCACAUAUGGAUUACACGGAGUUAACGGAUAUUGAAAUGUGAUAUUAGAUCAAUUGUAACAUAUUCCAUAUGUCCUUGACUCUAAAAUCUUUCUACGUCUAAUUAUAGAAGCACUGUACCUAAAACUUCAUAUUAUAAGCACACGUGUUAUUUUUCUAAUUUAAAAAUAUUAGUAUACGGGUAGAGGCGCUGUAAGCAGUCACUCUUACGUUUCAUACUUAUAAAUACUAUUAUCUUCAGAUUCGCCGUAUUUCUUUUUUGAAUUCAUAAGAAUAAUUUCAUUCUAUUUUAAGUUUUUUCCCCAACAGCUAAUACUUUAGAACAAAACUAAGUAAGCGGCCUUUACUGUAGCCAACGUUAUUUUGCCAAAAAUUACUUGGACACAAAUUAAAAAACAUUCCUCAAUAAGCUCUGCAUGAGUAUUUCUCACCAUCCGGUACUUGGCAGUGUAAAGAUUCGGCAAUGCAAAGCUUAUACAGUAGCACAGGGUCAGGUGCAAUGAAAAAAUUUCUCUUUCGUAUGGAUAUUGUUUUAUUACAAGUAUUUACAGUCAUCUAAUCGUGAAGAUAGGACGAUAGUUACAACAAUAACAAGAACAGUAGCGUAGCAGCAACAAUGGCAUCAGUGGGAACAGUCCAUCAUUCAUUCUAGAAGCUCUUAAUGCGUCUCAGUCCACUUUAUUUUGUUUCUGAGUGCGUGUUAUAUCACAAGACUGUAAUAGGAAUGAUAAUUACAAUAGUGUACGAUAAUUUGUUUGUUUAGCACAAUAUAGCAUAUGUUACCUA